GACGAACGCUGGCGGCGUGCCUAAUACAUGCAAGUCGAGCGAAUGGAUUAAGAGCUUGCUCUUAUGAAGUUAGCGGCGGACGGGUGAGUAACACGUGGGUAACCUGCCCAUAAGACUGGGAUAACUCCGGGAAACCGGGGCUAAUACCGGACAACAUUUUGAACCGCAUGGUUCGAAAUUGAAAGGCGGCUUCGGCUGUCACUUAUGGAUGGACCCGCGUCGCAUUAGCUAGUUGGUGAGGUAACGGCUCACCAAGGCAACGAUGCGUAGCCGACCUGGGAGGGUGAUCGGCCACACUGGGACUGAAACACGGCCCAGACUCCUACGGGAGGCAGCAGUAGGGAAUCUUCCGCAAUGGACGAAAGUCUGACGGAGCAACGCCGCGUGAGUGAUGAAGGCUUUCGGGUCGUAAAACUCUGUUGUUAGGGAAGAACAAGUGCUAGUUGAAUAAGCUGGCACCUUGACGGUACCUAACCAGAAAGCCACGGCUAACUACGUGCCAGCCGCCGCAGUAA
rnacentral:rRNA from 1 species